GGGGGCGUUCUGGCUUCGACGUGAAUAGCGAAACCCGAGCCGCAUGCCGAGCACGUAGUAAUCUCGUAAAACGUAUUACAAGUAAAUACAAUCGCAAACGAUGUAACAUACAACGAGGCAGCU
rnacentral:tmRNA from 1 species